rnacentral:rRNA from 1 species
CUGGACUAGAAUGUGAGGGAAUGUCGGGUAACGCCGACAGUCCGGGAAACCGGACCCAAAACAAGGUGCUGCAUGGCUGUCGUCAGCUCGUGUCGUGAGAUGUUGGGUUAAGUCCCGCAACGAGCGCAACCCUUAUCAACAGUUGCCAUCAUUAAGUUGGGAACUCUGUUGAGACUGCCGUUGAUAAAACGGAGGAAGGCGGGGAUGAUGUCAAGUCAUCAUGGCCUUUAUGUUCAGGGCUACACACGUGCUACAAUGGCCGGUACAAAACGUCGCAAUCCCGCAAGGGGGAGCUAAUCGCGAAAACCGGUCUCAGUUCGGAUUGAAGUUUGCAACUCGACUUCAUGAAGUUGGAAUCGCUAGUAAUCGCAGAUCAGAACGCUGCGGUGAAUACGUUCCC